rnacentral:rRNA from 1 species
GAUGAACGCUGACAGAAUGCUUAACACAUGCAAGUCAACUUGGAUUUGGGUUUUUAACUUAGGUUUGGGUGGCGGACGGGUGAGUAACGCGUAAAGAACUUGCCUCACAGCUAGGGACAACAUUUGGAAACGAAUGCUAAUACCUAAUAUUAUGAUAAUAGGGCAUCCUAUAAUUAUGAAAGCUAUAAGCGCUGUGAGAGAGCUUUGCGUCCCAUUAGCUAGUUGGAGAGGUAACGGCUCACCAAGGCGAUGAUGGGUAGCCGGCCUGAGAGGGUGAUCGGCCACAAGGGGACUGAGACACGGCCCUUACUCCUACGGGAGGCAGCAGUGGGGAAUAUUGGACAAUGGACCGAGAGUCUGAUCCAGCAAUUCUGUGUGCACGAUGAAGUUUUUCGGAAUGUAAAGUGCUUUCAGUUGGGAAGAAAAAAAUGACGGUACCAACAGAAGAAGUGACGGCUAAAUACGUGCCAGCAGCCGCGGUAAUACGUAUGUCACGAGCGUUAUCCGGAUUUAUUGGGCGUAAAGCGCGUCUAGGUGGUUAUGUAAGUCUGAUGUGAAAAUGCAGGGCUCAACUCUGUAUUGCGUUGGAAACUGUAUAACUAGAGUACUGGAGAGGUAAGCGGAACUACAAGUGUAGAGGUGAAAUUCGUAGAUAUUUGUAGGAAUGCCGAUGGGGAAGCCAGCUUACUGGACAGAUACUGACGCUGAAGCGCGAAAGCGUGGGUAGCAAACAGG